rnacentral:tRNA from 13 species
GCUCGGGUAGCUCAGUCGGUAGAGCAGGGGACUGAAAAUCCCCGUGUCGGCAGUUCAAUUCUGUCCCCGAGCACCA